rnacentral:ribozyme from 13 species
UUCUUUUCCUUUGUCUUCUUCCCCUUCUUUUUUCCAUUUCCUUCUGUCAACAUAAAGGACGAGGUAGGGGAUGGGGAGGGGGAUCAAAAGAUUGAAAGAAAAGACGCUUUUUUGGAAUUUAAGGCCCCAUUUUGUGUCAUAU